rnacentral:rRNA from 1 species
CUUGGUCAUUUAGAGGAAGUAAAAGUCGUAUCAAGGUUUCCGUAGGUGAACAUGCGGAAGGAUCAUUAUUGAGAAAUCGAAGCAGCCUGUUGCUGGCCUCUCUUGCAAAGGAGGGGCAUGUGCGCGCCUGUUCUCGUUCCACUCACACCUGUGCACUGCUCGGGGGCUGGCGAAAGCCUGCCUCUGUUUACACAAACACUUGUAUGUAACAGAAUGUUUCUUUUUGCGCAAUGCAAAUCUUUAACAACUUUCAACAACGGAUCUCUUGGCUCUUGCAUCGAUGAAGAACGCAGCGAAAUGCGAUAAGUAAUGUGAAUUGCAGAAUUCAGUGAAUCAUCGAAUCUUUGAACGCACCUUGCGCUCCUUGGUAUUCCGAGGAGCAUGCCUGUUUGAGUGUCAUGAAGCUCUCAGCCCCUUGCUUUUUUCUCAUCAGAAAGGCCUCGGGUUGGAAUUUGGGGGCUUGCCGAGGCCUCAGCCCUCGGCUCCCCUUGAAAUGCAUUAGCUGGGUAGGUCGCUUUUGUGGUCAAUUGGCGUGAUAGUGUUAUGUGCGUCAAUGUUCGCGCCAUCUUAGGACGGCGGCUGCGAGGCUUCCUCGACCGGCUUCUAACUGUCCUCACGGACAAAUCAACUCUUUUGACAUUUGACCUCAAAUCAGGUAGGACUACCCGCUGAACUUAAGCAUAUCAAUAAGCGGAGGA